AGUGAACGCUGGCGGUAGGCCUAACACAUGCAAGUCGAACGGCAGCACAGGAGAGCUUGCUCUCUGGGUGGCGAGUGGCGGACGGGUGAGGAAUACAUCGGAAUCUACUCUGUCGUGGGGGAUAACGUAGGGAAACUUACGCUAAUACCGCAUACGACCUACGGGUGAAAGCAGGGGACCUUCGGGCCUUGCGCGAUUGAAUGAGCCGAUGUCGGAUUAGCUAGUUGGCGGGGUAAGGGCCCACCAAGGCGACGAUCCGUAGCUGGUCUGAGAGGAGGAUCAGCCAACCUGGAACUGAGACACGGUCCAGACUCCUACGGGAGGCAGCAGUGGGGAAUAUUGGACAAUGGGCGCAAGCCUGAUCCAGCCAUACCGCGUGGGUGAAGAAGGCCUUCGGGUUGUAAAGCCCUUUUGUUGGGAAAGAAAUCCAGCUGGCUAAUACCCGGUUGGGAUGACGGUACCCAAAGAAUAAGCACCGGCUAACUUCGUGCCAGCCGCCGUAAGAC
rnacentral:rRNA from 1 species